GAUAAACAGAGUACCCUAGAAAAAUCCCCACUUCUCCUCUCUUUACCUCCAUGGCCGCCGCCUUCCUCCCCAGCCGCACUCCUCCAUGGCCGCCGCCUACUUCCAUGGCCACAUCCUCUCCAGCCGCACUCGUUCCAGCGCUGCCCGCCUCCGACCUCCACUACCGCCCAUAUCUCAUCUCGUCCACAUGCGUCCGCCACCCCACCCAUCUCCCGUACCCCGUCUCGACGGCCUCUACCGCCGUUCUGCCUUCACCAACGCCUGCCACCACAUCCCACCUCCCUCGGCUCAAACCCUCCACCGCACUCCAAGAGGGUCGCCCAGUAUGCGUUGCCGACGCCUCGUGCUCCCUACUGCAGAUCUGGGAAGUCUCCGGUCGCAAAUCCAGCAAGCCGCUGCCUCCUCUUCUGAUGUGACAGCAGCAGUCUCUUCCUCCCCCUUUUCUCCAAGACCGUGGUGGUAAGUCUCAACUAUUGCCAUCCAAAAACAUUAUGCAGGAUCUUGAGUUGUUCACCCACAAAAAAAGAUUCUGAAGUUGUUCAUACAAAUUAUCUAUAAGAAUACUGGUCUCAGGGCAACAAUAUCUCGAUUUUCUUUUUUCUUAGUCAUUUUACCAAAAGAUUUGCCAUAUGAGAGUGACAAAUAAGCGCCAUUUGCACUUGUUUGUAGUGUGUUGAUUUAUUCAGUUUUUAUUUUGCAAUAAAGUGCUUUGUUCUGUCUCCUAUCUAGAAAAUUUUAGGAGCUACUUUUAGGUGUGCUAUUAGCACUUCCAUUUGUUGAUGUCGUUGAAAAACUGAAAAAGGUUUUUCCCCAUAUAGUUGGCCCUUGCUUGCGUGUGCUUACAGGAACUCUAUGAGAAUUAAGAAACUCUCUCGGUCGCUCGGAACUCUGCACCUGGUUGUCUCCUCCGCCUCUUCUCUACCGUACAGCUUCUCCAUAGUGAUGGAGAAACCUCAAGAUCCAAGUGAAGAAAAGAAAGGAAUAUAAGUUUGGACCUGAGAAGGCCACCAUAAUAAACACAUAUGCUGUGAUGAAAUCUGGAAUGAAAAACCUUGAUCAAAGUGGCAAUACUAGUGCAAUCAGCAGCCAGAAAGCACAAAAGCGCCUUAUGCUUUUUGCGAAGAUGAAAGAGCCACCGGAGCGGUUCCUUUGGGGUCAAACUAAUGCUCAUACACAGGAAAAAACCUGGAGUUCACCAGGCUGGCUGAAGUUGUGAGGCUGGGAGGCUGAUGGUGCUGCUACUGGCUGAUCCUUCUUCUUUCAGCUUUUGUUAGUCCUUUCUCAAGCCGUUGGACCACGGCUACUUCCUUAUGUGCUGUUAAUGUAUUAAGUAGUUCCUUCGAAUUUGUAGUAUUAGUUAGUUUGAAUGUGGAAGUACCUUAAUUUUUAGGAACGAAAUGUUGCUUUGUAUGACCAAGGGUUUGAUACCUUAAUCUUUGGAUAAUUAAUUAUGUGAACUGUUGGAUGUGGCGCACAACGA